GCAGCUGGUCAGGCUGAAGGACGACUUCCUGUGCGGCGGCUGGAAGCAGCGGUUGCAGAACACCCAGCUGGCCAUGCCGGGUCAGACUGCAGAGGGCUACGGGAGCAUAGAGACAGCAGGACGGACGCACCUCUUCUGUCCUCAAUGCCUUUAAACUGGUGCCCAUGUUAAAUCCAAGCAAUGACCGCAUUGGGCCACCCACUCUUCUACCUAUCUCCAUAGCCUGUUCCCUGGGCCUACACACACCUGUUCUCCAGGCACACCUGCCCGCCUGGGUCCUGGUCAGCAGGUGCCACCCCAUGCUGUGCUCUCACGGCCUCCUGCGUCCUGCAGUUACUGCCAUUUGGCAGGCUGGGCCAUCACUGUUUGAAAUAGAACACUGAAAUGCAAUGGCCAAGAUGAACUGAAAGGAGAAUUCAGCGCUACUCAAUGUUAGGUUAAAUGGGAUAUAAAAAUGUGUGAUCAGAGCUUGUAAAGAAUACCUCUAGAUUUAGCUGCUGCUGCUCUUCUUGCAUUAAAGAAGAUAGAUAAUCUGAUGCUGAUUCUGCUUGAAUGUUGGGUAUCUUACUGGAUUUCCCACACGAUUCUGAAACUGGUGGAGCUUAUCUCUUUCUCAGAGGUGCACAAAGGUGCACAAAGCACAGGAAAUGUGCAGACAUCGCCGUGGCCACAUGGGCACUCUGGUCUGAAGAUCUCACAUAUUUCAGCCUCCAGCCCCAAUUAAUAUGCUGAAUGGCAUCAGAGAUUGUUAUGCUUAAGGAUAACUGAUGACCAGAACCACAAAUCAAGCUUGGAUUCUGGUCCAAGCCAGGCUUCCUGCUUUAUAAAUAUACAAGUCACUCACUCACAAGGCUGUUUUCACAUCAGCUUUGCAUAACUUGGUAAGCUAUCAAGAGAUGACCAUACAGUAUUAUGUUCACUGCCAAAUAGUACCGAGUCCAGGAGAUCAGCAUAAUACCAUAGAAAGACAUCUGGAUUCAUCAUUCAACAAGGCACAUCUCUGUCAAUGAGUCCUUGAUUGAUCAAUAUUGCAUGUCUCUGUUUUCAUGAGAAACCACUUUGAAGA